GCUCCCCUUGCGCUCGCCCCGCACGCGCAGCUACUGGGCCAAGCCCAACUCUCACCGAAGAGCCAUAUUCGCUCCCCUAUCUGUAACCGUGGAGGCAGAGAGGUUCACCUGCGCACCCCUGAUCCCCAACACCGCCGGCGCCCCCUCUGGAUCCCCAUCUCCACUGUCCCCCUCUGGAUCUCCGUCUCCACCGGCGCCCCCUUCAUCCCCAACACCAUUGCCGCCCCUUUGAUCUCCGUCUCCACCGCCCCCUUGAUCCACAACACUCCUUCUCACACAGACCCUAUUUGAAGGCUGGAAUCGAGUUUGCAUGCCUGGGGAGGCCGUCGUGGUAGUGACGAGGUCGUCAUUGAUCUGCACCUGAUGGUAGGUGGGCGACAAGGACGGCGCCGCGGCCUCCACCAGCUUCCACGGGAACGACGCCAUCGGCAGCCCCUACGCAUCCUUAGUCUGCGCCCGCGCCGGCGAAAUCCACCGCUGCAACACCUCGUGCCUGCGCCGCCGCGUCCUCCAACUUCAUCUCCUUGGUCUCCUCCCUCAAGUCCUGCCUCGCAUCUCAGAGGCCCUCGCCUGGUGAGCAGCAUCACGGAGGCCGUCGCCUGCCUCCACCCCUCGACGCCUUCCGUAACCUGCAGGGGUGUUCUCCAAUUAGUGCCGGAAUUAUUUAGUUUCAUAGACUCUAAAUUUAGCAGGCUAAUAAGUGUUGGUUCAGGAUUGAGGUUCUAUAUUAUUUAGGUGUGUUUAUAGUACAUAUGGAAGCAUACUGGAGGUCUGAAGUCUGAAACGCAUUGUCAACAGUUUCCUUGAUAACAAGCACACGAUGUCCAAUAUAUCAUACGAAUUAGGGUGAGUUAUGCACCACCUGAAAGCACACCUUGCACCAAAUGAACUGCUGGGAUCAGGUUGGACAUUUGAGUAUAGUGUUGGCAUGCAUCCCAGCUACGAGAGCUUUCAGGUACUGGACCAAUGUGCUUGUAUUGACCAUCGACAUAUUCUCUCUGCUCACCACUUGGCAUCCAAUGUAAGAAAUCUUGAAAUAUCAUGAAAUGCUAAAUAUUUGUUGCAAUUAACUUUUGUUUUAGCAUGUCUGUUAACAACUCAUUUUCUACUCUUACGAGUUAUGAUCCCCACCAUCGAGUCCGCCAGCGUCGACGCUGCCAGGUGGUGGAUGCCUGCUUGCCAGGGCCACGUUGACGCGAAGCAUAUAUGUCCACUGCCUGUCUUGCCGUAGGGGAGUUCCGCGAGGUCCUGAUCCGGCAUUGAUCCGAUGACGCCUUCAUGGCUAAGAGUUUGGUGCUCCCUACGGCCGGCGACGUAGCAGGCGGAGGUUCCUCUUGACUCGUCGUGCAACACCUUUGUCGAUCUGGGUGACGCUGCAGUAAAGAUAGAACUGUUGUUGUGCCAAUUGUCUCCCUCCCACGCCAGUGAAGGUGCAUGAAUAAAUAUAUCUGUUGCCCUGUGUAUAAAUUAUACUUACGUGCCUUUUCAAUUUAAACCAUGAAAUAUAUCAUUAUAUUACUUUAGUUUUCUGCAUCUACUUGACUAGAACGAGUAUGCUUCAAACAUAGCUAAAAGGGAUGCUUUCCAUGAGAAAGAGAGAUUUUUCUAAAUAUCUGCACUCCAAAUACACAUCAUGGCUCUUUUUGUUUGUGUAAAUUUGUUCAUAAUGACUAUCAAAUGUCCAUCCAGUACUCUGUUUUGGUUUACCAAGUACUAACAUUAUAGGAUGUCGCAUAUUCCAUCUCAUAUUUGCUUAAGUAUUAGCAUAUGACUUGUUAGGCUGCAGGCUCAUUCUCAGUUUUUAAAAGUAUAUACGAACCUUCAGAUUUUUCAAAUAUUUGCAGAAGUUUCGGUACUAAAGAACAUCAGUUUAUUCAAAUAUUGUUCGAAAUAAGGAGAAUUAGCAAAGAUGAUUUGCAAAUUAAUGUGUGAAGAGCAUCUUUUUUUAUCUAUUCAUAUGAUUUAGCAGCUUGAUUUGUGUCUGUCGGUACCGGUGCCCUCGGUGGGUUGGUAGGUGUGGCUUUGAAUUUUGCAGAGAUAUUUUGGGGGCAUAUCUCCUAUUUCCUCCCAAUUAACUUGGAUUGUGUUGUACCAGCUAAGAUCUAUGUCUUCCUUUGGUUGGUAUUAAACAACACAAUCGUUACUAGAAAAUUUAGGGAAAAUAUAGGCAUGUUAGUGAUCCAACUUAUGAUGUUUUGUCAAUUUUAUCUCUCUAGGCUUAACCUACCCAUGAUAUUAACAUUUUUACUACUGCUGCUCUUUAGAGUAUUUGGAAUUUACAUAAUGAAUGGAAUUUGUUUUCUGUGGCUGAC